rnacentral:lncRNA from 1 species
AUCUGAGAAAGGAAGAACCAAGUCUUGUCCACAGGUAACAGGCCUUCACAUUCAACAGGCAAUACAAAGAGAGAGUGAGAACAUAGGAAAAAGUCAGACUGAAACGAAGACUCUUUUCCCCAGUGGUCAUACUGUGAAAAGAAGAUGGAUUACAGCAUUUUGUAAAUAGAGCAAGUUAACCACAAAUUAAAAAUGACUGCUUGAAGAGAAAACUUAAUUUCCUCAUUGAAGAUUCAACACUGCAUCAAUGGGUUUCCUACUUACAAAAAGUGGUGACAAUAAGAAUCGGAGAUCACAAACACCCAUCAAUGCAUUGAGAGAAACCAAGUAUCCAGUCAACAUACAGAUCCUGAAACCCGGCUUCCUGGUGACCCCAAAAUUAUGAGGUGAGAUACCCUCCAGAGGACCCAAAAUGACUUUAUAAAUGUCUCUAAAUAUUCCUUUCAGCAUUAAACUAUGCACUUUUUCCAUUAACAUGUUCAAGGUCUCAAGAGUGGAACUGUUGUUUACUCCACAUUUGAAAUGUGUUUCUUAGUGAGAGGAAGUGAAACUAC